UUGUUUCAGCAGCACAGAUACUAAAAUUGGAAUGAGGUAGAGAAAAUUAGCAUGGCCCCUCCAUAAGGACGACACACAAAAAAAAAAAGAAGUUAUGUACUCAC